rnacentral:lncRNA from 1 species
UGUGUGAUCCACGGAUUCAAGGAGCUAGUAGCGCAACCACCUCCUGGAGCAAAGGCAGGCCUGCCAGUAUGGUGAAAUGUAUGAACUGUCUGCCCAGGGAAACCCUCAAAGGGGCUACAUAAAAGUGUUCAACUUCAGAAUCUUCCAAAGUUAAGGGCAACACAACUGGGCUUACGGCUGUUGUCCUGGGAAAUGAAGAGAGCCAUCUUGGACUGGAUGUACUUAAGGAAGUUGACAGCUGACCACUGGGGAAGUGACACACCUGGCAACAUGGAAGAGAUAGUUACAUAGAGUCACACACUGAGGAAUGGCUUCAAUGAAUGAAUGGCAAAGGGAGGAGUUUCCCAGGGAAGCAAAGUUGA